UACGUAGGGGGCAAGCGUUGUCCGGAAUCAUUGGGCGUAAAGAGCGUGUAGGCGGCCCGGUAAGUCCGCUGUGAAAGUCCAGGGCUCAACCCUGGGAUGCCGGUGGAUACUGUCGGGCUCGAGUCCGGAAGAGGCGAGUGGAAUUCCCGGUGUAGCGGUGAAAUGCGCAGAUAUCGGGAGGAACACCAAUGGCGAAGGCAGCUCGCUGGGACGGUACUGACGCUGAGACGCGAAAGCGUGGGAGCA
rnacentral:rRNA from 1 species